rnacentral:rRNA from 1 species
AUUGAACGCUGGCGGCAUGCCUAACACAUGCAAGUCGAACGAGUGGCGGACGGGUGAGUAAUGUAUUGGAAAGUGCCCAGUGGAGGGGGAUAACUACUGGAAAGGGUAGCUACUACCGCCUACUAUCGGAGCUGCCCAUAUGGGAUUAGCUAGUUGGUGGGGUAACGGCUCACCAAGGCGACGAUCCCUAGCUGGUUUGAGAGGCUGACCAGCCACACUGGAACUGAGACACGGGCCAGACUCCUACGGGAGGCAGCAGUGGGGAAUUUUGGACAAUGGGCGAAAGCCUGAUUCAGCCAGGCCGCGUGUAUGAUGAAGGCCUUCGGGUUGUAAAGUACUUUUAGCGAAGAGGCGGUACUUGCAGAAGAAGCACCGGCUAACUACGUGCCAGCAGCCGCGGUAAUUC